rnacentral:tRNA from 1 species
ACCAGGAUGGCUGAGUGGUUUAGACAUUGGAAUUAAAGUCCAAUGAACAGUAUGUUCUUGUGGGUGCCAACCCCAUUCCUGGAA